UGAGGAAUAUUGGACAAUGGGCGCAAGCCUGAUCCAGCCAUGCCGCGUGCAGGAAGAAGCAUCUAUGGUGUGUAAACUGCUUUUGUACGGGAAGAAACACUCCUUCGUGAAGGAGCUUGACGGUACCGUAAGAAUAAGGAUCGGCUAACUCCGUGCCAGCAGCCGCGGUAAUACGGAGGAUCCAAGCGUUAUCCGGAAUCAUUGGGUUUCAAGGGUCCGUAGGCGGUUUAGUAAGUCAGUGGUGAAAGCCCAUCGCUCAACGAUGGAACGGCCAUUGAUACUGCUAGACUUGAAUUAUUAGGAAGUAACUAGAAUAUGUAGUGUAGCGGUGAAAUGCUUAGAUAUUACAUGGAAUAACAAUUGCGAAGACAGAUUACUACUAAUGGAUUGACGCUGAUGGGCAAGAGCGUGGGGAGCGAAC
rnacentral:rRNA from 1 species